rnacentral:ribozyme from 14 species
AAGGGUGUGAAUCUUGUGAUAUUUGUGUUUCCCCCCCUUUCCCCUUUUUUAUUUCCUUUUCUUUCAUACUUCUAUUUGCGCUGCUGGCAGCAGGGAUAAGGGGGGAAGGAUAAGGAGAAGGAGGAGCAGGAAACGUGUAACCAUUACCAUUUUAUUUGU